GACGAACGCGGCGGCGUGCCUAAUACAUGCAAGUGGGACGCAAGGGAACACACUGUGCUUGCACACCGUGUUUUCUUGAGUCGCGAACGGGUGAGUAACGCGUAGGUAACCUGCCUAUUAGCGGGGGAUAACUAUUGGAAACGAUAGCUAAUACCGCAUAAUAUUAAUUAUUGCAUGAUAAUUGAUUGAAAGAUGCAAGCGCAUCACUAGUAGAUGGACCUGCGUUGUAUUAGCUAGUUGGUAAGGUAAGAGCUUACCAAGGCGACGAUACAUAGCCGACCUGAGAGGGUGAUCGGCCACACUGGGACUGAGACACGGCCCAGACUCCUACGGGAGGCAGCAGUAGGGAAUCUUCGGCAAUGGACGAAAGUCUGACCGAGCAACGCCGCGUGAGUGAAGAAGGUUUUCGGAUCGUAAAGCUCUGUUGUAAGUCAAGAACGUGUGUGAGAGUGGAAAGUUCACACAGUGACGGAGCUACCAGAAAG
rnacentral:rRNA from 1 species